CAGCAGCCACGGGAACACGAAGGGUGCAAGCGUUAAUCGGAAUUACUGGGCGUAAAGGGUGCGUAGGCGGUUGUUAAGUCUGCUGUGAAAUCCCCGGGCUCAACCUGGGAAUGGCAGUGGAUACUGGCAAGCUAGAGUGUGGUAGAGGAUAGUGGAAUUUCCGGUGUAGCAGUGAAAUGCGUAGAGAUCGGAAGGAACAUCUGUGGCGAAGGCGACUAUCUGGGCCAACACUGACGCUCAUGCACGAAAGCGUGGGGAGCAAACAGGAUUAGAUACCCCCGUAGUCCCUGUCUCUUAUACC
rnacentral:rRNA from 1 species